UGUCAUCGCAUAUGUAGGAGGUGGAACAACAUGGUUGGUUAAGGCAUAUUGAGCAUGGCUAGAGGCUCUACAGUGAAAUAAGACAGUAAUCACUAACCAGGACAGUAAUGGACGAGGCAUAUUGAUAUUAGAGAGAGGCAUGCGUAGCCAAGUGAUCAUAUGGGUCCAGUGAGUGGUUGGGCUGACUGGGGACACAGCGAUUCAGACAGUUAGCAGGCCAAUGCUAACAAGCUAACAGUUAGUAGGCCGGGGCUAAACAAGCUAGCAGUUAGCAGACCGGGGCUAGCAAGCUAGCAGACCGGGGCUAGAAGGUUAUCAGAAGGGCCUUUGGGGGACGUCACGAUGGAGAAGCUGCAGCCAGCCACUGGCGAUGCCAGGAUUCCAAUAUUGGCUGCGCCAGAGAAAUGUGUGGCCAUGAUGAAACUUAUUUUUCUGUCAUUCGGGAGAAUGAUGGUCCACAAGACCACGACAGGCAGCGCAUCUCAGUAUCAGGAGAAGCCCAUAAUUCCAAUGGCAUCUGUUAAUGCCAAUACAUCCUAACAAAAUCCACAUAUGACUGCCCUGUUAAUGUGCCUUGCUGGACCUUGUGAACUUUCGAAAGUAGACCCAUAGGGCUAACUGAUCCACAUGUUUUCCUAAUAAGGCAUAUGCUCGAUGCGGUUAUUUUGGAAUUAAACAUGAACAUUUGAGUAAAGUUAUUAUCUGAGACAUAGUGCCACCUGCUGGGGAAAUGUGUCCUUCCUGUAAGGUCCAUAUCUAUCCCCCUGAGUGCUAACCUAUGGAAGCACAUUCCUGCCACCAAAAUGUCAAGAUAGUAGACCGUACUUACAGGUUAUGUAGCGUAUGUUUCUUCAUUUGUAACACUGUGUGGUUAUUUCAGAGAUGGUAUCAAGGAGUGAUGGGGGGGAAAUAGUUUUCCUGGGGACCAGAGUUUUUCCUGAUCUGGUAGGCUAACGUAACCAGGUUAAACUCCAGACCCUAGUUGUAGGGUCUGACAUAGUAAUAAAUCAGCUUUAUUCUUUUCUAAUCAGGUCAUAUGGUUUAAAAAGACAACUGUGAUUGGACAAUAGAAUUUACAGGGCUGAGAUGGUUGUAUGCAGGAUUGCAUCGGGUAGGCCUUUGGAUCUGUAAUUAAAAAUAUACUCAUACAGUAUGUCAUCACUAUUGUGUUGGUUGAUUCAUUCCAGUCAAUAAUUCUGGAUUAAAAAGGUCUAGGUAGCCAAGCCACCCGAAGUGUGAAUAUAAACCACAUUUGAUCACAUUCACAUUUUCUCAGAACAAAAAUAAAUGGGCCUAUAACUUAGUCCAUAAAAACAUAACGUUACGUUACCCCUGGCCCAGAUGGG
rnacentral:lncRNA from 1 species